rnacentral:rRNA from 1 species
AUUGAACGCUGGCGGCAUGCCUUACACAUGCAAGUCGAACGGCAGCACGGGUGCUUGCACCUGGUGGCGAGUGGCGAACGGGUGAGUAAUACAUCGGAACGUACCUUAUCGUGGGGGACAACGCAGCGAAAGCUGUGCUAAUACCGCAUAAGCCCUGAGGGGGAAAGCGGGGGAUCGAAAGACCUCGCGCGAUUAGAGCGGCCGAUGCCUGAUUAGCUUGUUGGUGGGGUAAAAGCCCACCAAGGCGACGAUCAGUAGCUGGUCUGAGAGGACGAUCAGCCACACUGGGACUGAGACACGGCCCAGACUCCUACGGGAGGCAGCAGUGGGGAAUUUUGGACAAUGGGGGCAACCCUGAUCCAGCAAUGCCGCGUGAGUGAAGAAGGCCUUCGGGUUGUAAAGCUCUUUUGUCAGGGAAGAAACACCGGCUCUAACACAGUCCGGGAAUGACGGUACCUGAAGAAUAAGCACCGGCUAACUACGUGCCAGCCGCCGCAGUAA